rnacentral:rRNA from 1 species
CCCUUAGAUGUUCUGGGCUGCACCCGUGCUACACUGGCAGGUUCAGCGAGCUUCAUGCCCUGAUCUGAAAGGAAUGGGAAAUCUUUUCAAAACCUGCCGUGCUUGGGAUAGAUGUUUGCAAUUAUUCAUCUUCAACGAGGAUUGCCUUGUAAGCGCACGUCAUCAGCGUGCAUUGAAUACGACCCUGUAUUCUGUACACACCGCCCGUCGCUCCUACCGAUUGAGUGGUCCGGUGAGGCUUUGGGAUCUGAGCGGAAAGAGCGUUUCGCUGUUUCUGCCCGGAAAACUCAGUCGAACCUUAUCAUUUAGAGGAAGGAGAAGUCGUAACA